UAGAGUUUGAUCCUGUGCUCAGGAUAAACGCUGGCGUGCGUGCCUAAUGCAUGCAAGUCUGAACGGGAGCGCCUUUUGGCGUCGACCGUGGCGGACGGGUGAGGAACACGUAGCUAACCUGCCCAGAUGUGGGGGAUAUGCGCUGGAAACGGCGUGCAAUACCGCAUGUGGUCGGUCGUCGGGAGAUGGCCGAGGAAAGCCUUAGGGUGCAUCUGGAGGGGGCUGCGGCCGAUUAGCUAGUUGGUGGGGUAAUGAGCCUACCAAGGCGAUGAUCGGUAGCUGGUCUGAGAGGACGAUCAGCCACACGGGGACUGAGACACGGCCCCGACUCCUACGGGAGGCAGCAGCAAGGAAUUUUCCACAAUGGGCGCAAGCCUGAUGGAGCAACGCCGCGUGGGGGAUGACGCAUUUCGGUGUGUAAACCCCUUUUCGAGAGGACGAAGGCAAUGACGGUACUCUCGGAAGAAGGACCGGCUAACUACGUGCCAGCAGCCGCGGUAAGACGUAGGGUCCGAGCGUUGUCCGGAAUUACUGGGCGUAAAGCGCGCGCAGCGAUACGCGCAUCAUCGGUGAAAGCCCCCCGCUCAACGGGGGAGGGUCCGGUGAGAUGGCGUGUUCUGGAGGCAAGGAGAGGCGAGUGGAAUUCCGGGUGUAUGGUGAAAUUGCGUAAAGAUCCGGAGGAACCACCAUUGCAAAGGCGGGUCGCUUGACCUGAACCUUGAACGCUUAGGCGCGAAGGCCUGUGGGGGAAGCGAACGGNGAUUGAGAUACCCGNUAGUCCACGCAGUAACGAUGGACACUAGGUGUGGCGGGAGUUGACCCCUGCCGUGCCGGCGUCAACACAGUAAGUGUCCCGCUCUGGGGAGUACGGCCGCAAGGCUAAAACUCAAAGGAAUUGACGGGGGCCCGCACAAGCAGCGGAGCGUGUGGUUUAAUUCGACGCAACGCGCAACACCUUACCACGGUUUGACAUCCUCGGAAUCUGGCUGAAAGGCUGGAGUGCCCGCAAGGGAGCCGGGAGACAGGUGCUGCAUGGCUGUCGUCAGCUCGUGUCGUGAGAUGUUGGGUUAAGUCCCGCAACGAGCGCAACCCCUGUGGCUAGUUACUUGUGUCUAGCCAGACUGCCGGACCAAACCGGAGGAAGGUGGGGAUGAUGUCAAGUCAGCAUGGCCCUUACACCGUGGGCGACACACACGCUACAAUGGCCGGGACAAUGGGCAGCCAAGCGGUAACGCGGAGCCAAUCCCCCAAACCCGGUCUCAGUUCAGAUCGAGGGCUGCAACUCGCCCUCGUGAAGGCGGAGUUGCUAGUAACCGCAGGUCAGCAUUACUGCGGUGAAUAUGUUCCCGGGCCUUGUACACACCGCCCGUCACGUCAUGGGAGCCGGCAACACCUGAAGUCGGUGGGCCAACCCGUAAGGGAGGCAGCCGCCGAGGGUGGGGUUGGUGACUGGGACGAAGUCGUAACAAGGUAGCCGUAGCGGAAGCUGCGGCUGGAUCACCUCCUUA
rnacentral:rRNA from 1 species